CUGACAUCUGAACCUGCAAAUGUGAAGGAGAAGGAUGAACAGACAGACGUGAUACAUUCACAGUUAACAUGGAAUGUAUGAAAAAUGAAUUAUCAUCAUCAUUAUAAGAAAGACUCUGGAGAAAACAGACUGAACAUGAAUUAUCUUAUACAGUAAGAAAGAAAUGCAAAGAUGGAAGCAAAAGGAUGCUAGAAAAUUGGUUAUGGUGUCGCCUUCUUACAGUCUGCAGCAUUAUCAUAACAUCAACCCUAACUGCAUUGGGAUUAUGUUAACAAGCAGGAAGCACAUGAACUGAAUUGGACUGCACACUAUACAAGUUCUGUGAUCGUGAGGACUACCUCCAAGAACUAUCUCAAAAGGAGAGACACAGCUCACAGUGAAAUGA